rnacentral:rRNA from 1 species
UACGUAGGGUGCGAGCGUUAAUCGGAAUUACUGGGCGUAAAGCGUGCGCAGGCGGUCUGUUAAGACCGAUGUGAAAUCCCCGGGCUUAACCUGGGAACUGCAUUGGUGACUGGCAGGCUUUGAGUGUGGCAGAGGGAGGUAGAAUUCCACGUGUAGCAGUGAAAUGCGUAGAGAUGUGGAGGAAUACCGAUGGCGAAGGCAGCCUCCUGGGCCAACACUGACGCUCAUGCACGAAAGCGUGGGGAG